UACAGAGGGUGCGAACGUUGCUCGGAAUUACUGGGCGUAAAGCGCAUGUAGGCGGAUCCAUAAGUCGGGCGUGAAAUCCCCAGGCUCAACCUGGGAACUGCGCUCGAAACUGUAGGUCUUGAGUGUCGGAGAGGAUGGCGGAAUUCCUGGUGUAGAGGUGAAAUUCGUAGAUAUCGGGAGGAACACCGGUGGCGAAGGCGGCGACCUGAGUAGAUACUGACGCUGAGGUGCGAAAGCGUGGGGAGCAAACAGG
rnacentral:rRNA from 1 species